rnacentral:rRNA from 1 species
AAGAGUUUGAUCCUGGGCUCAGAAUCAACGCUGGCGGCGCGCCUAACACAUGCAAGUCGAACGAGAAAGUCCGCAAGGAUGAGUAAAGUGGCGUACGGGUGAGUAACACGUGGAUCAUCUACCUUUUAGUGGGGAAUACCGUUGGGAAACCGACGACAAUACCGCAUAAGCCCGAGAGGGGAAAGCAGCAAUGCGCUGAAAGAGGAGUCCGCGGCUGAUUAGCUAGUUGGUAGGGUAAUGGCCUACCAAGGCAUCGAUCAGUAGCCGGCCUGAGAGGGCACACGGCCACACUGGCACUGAAACACGGGCCAGACUCCUACGGGAGGCAGCAGUGGGGAAUCUUGCACAAUGGGGGCAACCCUGAUGCAGCGACGCCGCGUGAGCGAUGAAGCCCUUCGGGGUGUAAAGCUCUUUCGGCAGGGAAGAUUAUGACGGUACCUGCAGAAGCAGCUGCGGCUAACUACGUGCCAGCAGCCGCGGUAAUACGUAGGCAGCAAGCGUUGUUCGGAGUUACUGGGCGUAAAGGGUGUGUAGGCGGUUCCCUAAGUUUGGUGUGAAAUCUCCCGGCUUAACCGGGAGGGUGCGCCGAAAACUGGGGAGCUAGAGUAUGGGAGAGGAAAGUGGAAUUCCUGGUGUAGCGGUGAAAUGCGUAGAUAUCAGGAGGAACACCUGCGGGUAACGGCUUUCUGGACCCAUCAC